GUAGGUGGCAAGCGUUGUCCGGAAUUAUUGGGCGUAAAGCGCGCGCAGGCGGUUCUUUAAGUCUGAUGUGAAAGCCCACGGGCUCAACCGUGGAGGGUCAUUGGAAACUGGAGAACUUGAGUACAGAAGAGGAAAGCGGAAUUCCACGUGUAGCGGUGAAAUGCGUAGAGAUGUGGAGGAACACCAGUGGCGAAGGCGGCUUUCUGGUCUGUAACUGACGCUGAGGCGCGAAAGCGUGGGGAGCAAACAGGAUUAAAUACCCUGGUAGUCCACGCCGUAAACGAUGAGUGCUAAGUGUUAGGGGGUUUCCGCCCCUUAGUGCUGCAGCUAACGCAUUAAGCACUCCGCCUGGGGAGUACGGCCGCAAAGGCUG
rnacentral:rRNA from 1 species